rnacentral:lncRNA from 1 species
CAGUUAUUUCACAGUCUCACAGUCACAGAUAAUAGUAGUUAGUCUCAUAGACUAUAAAUACAGUUCUCACUUCUCACUUCUCAGGUCACAAAAUGAAGUCACAAAAUCACAGUUAUUACACAGUCUCACAGAUAGUAGUAGUUAGUCUCAUAGACUUUAAAUAAAACAUUAGAGCUGUUUGUGCAAUGGCUGCCUCAUUAAAAACCUUUCUAGGUAAAAACUCACACCUCGUGAGAAAACCCUAGAAAGGAAAAAAGAGUACAGCCCAGCUCUAAUAUAAUUAGUUCAUUGUUCAGUUACAUCAAUAUCACACCAGAUCAGCAGAGCACAAAUGCAAGAUUACAAAGUGUAGGGCUCUAAGGCCCUUGGGAGUCAUCAAGGUAAAGGCCUUCAAAUGCAUCUUCAAGUUCUUGGUCCUGGGUACAGUGCUGGCCUCUAGCUUCACCAAGUUCCCAAUCUUUAACGCACAGUAGCAUCUCAACCAUUUCUGGUGCUAGGCGUCGUCGUCGCCUCGAUUAUCCUGCCACAAAGGCUAAAUGCAGAUUCUGAGGAAAUAGUUGAGACAGGAACAAAAAUAAUAUCUCUAGCUAAAAUGGAAAGAACAGGAUAGGACAACUUAUGUUCAUGCCACCAGUUCAGGAUAUUGAAGUCAUCAUCAAACUUUUGCAAAGUGUCACUAUCUAAGUAGGAGGACAGUUCUGUUUCAAGUGAACUUAGGCCAGCACUAGAGUGAGCUUGUUGAAGCAAAGCAGAUGCUGAUGUUCCACUACCAAGGUUAGGAGUAAUAGAACUAGGGUAUGCAAGUUCAGUAGAAUCAGAUGCAUAAAUCAAUCCCCAGUUUUGUUUCCUCUUACCUGUGACAGCUGAGGGAGGAGGCACUCGUUGCUUAACUGCGCCAAACUUACUAUCAUAUCUAUUAAACAUUGUAGACAAUUCAUUUUUCACACGACUAAAAUAAAGUGAGUAAUCAGUACCACAAAGGCCAGAUAAAAUUCUCAAGAUAUUGCUGAAACCCCUUAGCUUGGCUCUAGGAUCUAGUACAAAAGCAAAUGCAUAGAGCAUAGGUAUAUCCCUCCAGUACUUAAGAAACUUAGACUUCAUAGGAGAGACAACAUUUCUAAGGAAAGCAUCAUUUUCAUACUGAGUUAAAUGUUGAACAAUGUCAAGGAUGUUAUGCAUUAUAAGUGGAGAUGUAGGAUAAUAAACACCAGAAAGUGUCACAGUAGCAUCAUAAAACAGUUCAAGGAACUCAAGCAACUUUUCAGCCACAUACCAAUGUGAAUUUGUUAACAAUUGAGGCUCACCUUGUUUUCUAGGGUAGUUAGUUUCCAUGAAAACACCAAAAGUUUCCUUAUAAGGAAUUAAAUGCUUAAGCAUUAGGUAUGUAGAAUUCCAUCUCACAGCCAUGUCAAUGCCAAACUUACGAGGGCGUACAUUCAUAGCAACACAAUAGCUCUUAAAUGCAGCAAUGCGCUGAUUAGAAGCAUUCAAGAAGACAAUUGCAGUUCUAAAUGAAUCAAGGUAAGGUUCUAGCCUUUUCAAGCCACACUUCACAAUCAAAUUGAUAAUAUGACAGGCACAACGUUGAUGCAAGAAUAAAGUACCAACAUAACCAGAUAGUGAUGAACUAAGCCUAUCCAUAGCCUUAGUAUUAGAGGAGGCAUUGUCUAAGGUGACAGAGAAUACUUUAUUUGCAACACCAUAAUCUUCAAGCACUGACAAAACCCUCUCAGCAAUGUUCUCACCAGUGUGAGCUGUUUCAAUUAGUCUAAGCCCAAUCACCCUCUUUUCUAAUACCCAGUCCUUAGAAACAUAAUGAGCAACCACACUAAGAUAGUCCUCCUUAGCAUUACCACUCCAAAUAUCAGAUGUAAUUGCAAUAGAAGAAACAGAUUGUAAGCAUUCAACAACUAUCUUACGUCGAUCAUUGAAAAACUUAACAAAGUCCCUACAAGUUGUUUGUCUAGAGACUUUCUUAAAGACAGGAUUAUGAGAUAACCUAAUGUACUCCUCAAAAGCAGGUGACUCAGCAAAAUUAAGAGGAAGAUCAAGCCUAGCAAUCAACCUACACAUUUGAGUUCUAGCACGUUCAGGACAAUAAUCCCAGUUACGGACAGUACCAUCAGGGUUAAAUUUAAGCAUUGACUGCUUGCCCUGUUUAGCAAGCUUAACUUUGCAAUCACGUUGAUGCCUAAGCAAAUGACCAGUACCACUAGUCGACACAGCAGACAAUGUACAUUUGCACCAAUGACACUUACCACCAUACCUGAUCUUCUUACCAUCUACGGUUCUGUAAAGUGGUUCGAAGUCCUGCCACACUUUAGAUGUGCAAAUUCUUUUGCGCUUCUUACCAUCAGCAUCAGAAGUGGGGGCAGAACCAUUGUCGGUAGCAGCAGCACCCUCUUCAAGGUCAAUAGGGGUAGGGGUAGGGGCAACACUGCUCAGAUCAUUGUUAAUGGACUGAGAUGGAGCAUUUUCUUCACUUGGAACAAUCCUCAGAUCAUUGUUAAUGAACUGAGAUAGAUUCUCUUCACCAACAUCUCCAUCCAUCACAAAUUAGAAAGCUAGAGGCCGGAGCACCGGUUCCGUCGCCCGUCAAGAUGGUGGCACGCACCGUUCCCUCACGACCUAUCAAAUAACAACAAGGUCAUGAGUUCAUCACAGUCUCACAGAGAAUAACAGAUCAGGCACACUUACAUUAAGUAAUGGCGUACUAGACACAAUAACCAAAUAACAGCAAGGUCAUGAGUUCACCUCUGAGCUUGACGCGACUCGUUAAUGGCGUAAGCAGUAGGGUCGGAGCACCGGUUCCGUCGCCCGUCAAGAUGGUGGCGCGCACCGUUCCCUCACGACCUACCAAAUAGCAGCAAGGUCCAUGACAGAGAAGAACAGAUCAGACACACUCACAUUAUGUAAUGACAGGAGGUACUAGAUACAAUACUCAAAUAGCAACAAGCAUGUUCCAACAAAUUAAUUAACGACAGCUAGGUCAUGAGUCCAUCACAGAGAAGAACAGAUCAGGCACACUCAAAUUUUGUAAUGACAGAAGGUACUAGAUACAAUAAUAAAAUACCAAGCAAGGUCAUGAGUUCAUCAAAGAGAAGAACAGAUCAUGAGUUAAUGGCGUAAGCAGUAAUGACAACAACCAUCAUCCAGAGUCCAGACAUCUCACCUCUGUGCUUGACGCGGC